GGAGGCUGUGGUCGACCUAUGGUCAGAGGUCAGUUCUGCCUCGCUCGGACAGCGACUCCGCCGUAGGUCACACCUCGCGCCCCCCCCACACCGCCAGUCGGUCUUGAAAACCGUCGUGGCAGCGAUGUCACCGUGGGUUCAAAUCCCACAGCCUCCG
rnacentral:tRNA from 1 species